rnacentral:rRNA from 1 species
GGCGACGGUUGUCCCGGUUUAAGCAUGUAGGCUGGUUGUCCAGGCAAAUCCGGAUAACCAAGGCUGAGGUGUGAUGACGAGGUACUACGGUGCUGAAGUAACAAAUGCCCUGCUUCCAGGAAAAGCCUCUAAGCAUCAGGUAACAUCAAAUCGUACCCCAAACCGACACAGGUGGUCAGGUAGAGAAUACCAAGGCGCUUGAGAGAACUCGGGUGAAGGAACUAGGCAAAAUGGUGCCGUAACUUCGGGAGAAGGCACGCUGGUGUGUAGGUGAAGUCCCUGCGGAUGGAGCU